UACGUAGGGGCAAGCGUUGUCCGGAAUUAUUGGGCGUAAAGAGCUCGUAGGCGGUUUGUCGCGUCUGCUGUGAAACUGGAGGCUCAACCUCCAGCCUGCAGUGGGUACGGGCAAACUAGAGUGCGGUAGGGAGAUUGGAAUUCCUGGUGUAGCGGUGGAAUGCGCAGAUAUCAGGAGGAACACCGGUGGCGAAGGCGGUCUCUGGCCGAUACUGACGCUGAGGAGCGAAGCGUGGGAGCGAACAGG
rnacentral:rRNA from 1 species